rnacentral:misc_RNA from 1 species
UGUGUAAACUUUUUGGAAGAUAUUCAAGACAAGCGAUCUUGAGAGACUUCUCUUGCCCAGAAAGAGAGGGAGAGAGAGAAAUGGGAAGAGCUCCUUGUUGUGACAAGGCAAAUGUGAAGAAGGGACCUUGGUCACCAGAAGAAGACUCAAAGCUCAAGGAGUACAUAGAAAAAUUUGGGACUGGUGGGAAUUGGAUUGCUCUUCCUCAGAAAGCUGGUUUGAAGAGAUGUGGAAAGAGUUGCAGAUUGAGAUGGCUAAACUAU